GUAGGGUGCGAGCGUUAAUCGGAAUUACUGGGCGUAAAGCGUGCGCAGGCGGUUAUAUAAGACAGUUGUGAAAUCCCCGGGCUCAACCUGGGAAUUGCAUUUGUGACUGUAUAGCUAGAGUACGGUAGAGGGGGAUGGAAUUCCGCGUGUAGCAGUGAAAUGCGUAGAUAUGCGGAGGAACACCGAUGGCGAAGGCAAUCCCCUGGACCUGUACUGACGCUCAUGCACGAAAGCGUGGGGAGCAAAC
rnacentral:rRNA from 1 species